UACAGAGGUGGCGAGCGUUAUUCGGAAUUCUUGGGCGUAAAGGGCGCGUAGGCGGCCCUGUAAGUCAACGGUGAAAUCCCUCGGCUCAACCGAGGACGUGCCGUUGAUACUGCAGGGCUCGAGGCCGGGAGAGGGUAGUGGAAUUCCCAGUGUAGCGGUGAAAUGCGUAGAUAUUGGGAGGAACACCGGUGGCGAAGGCGGCUACCUGGACCGGUUCUGACGCUGAGGCGCGAAAGCGUGGGGAGCAAACAGG
rnacentral:rRNA from 1 species